rnacentral:rRNA from 1 species
ACUUUAAUUGAAGAGUUUGAUCAUGGCUCAGAUUGAACGCUGGCGGCAGGCCUAACACAUGCAAGUCGAGCGGUAACA